CCUCUCGGAGGAACGGAGCUCAGACUCCUCCUGCUGCUAUUCCUACCCAACUGAGAACGCAGGGACCCAGGUCAAGAAAACCCUCUCUCGGGCACAGCAGGAACAACCACUAACUAUCUAAAUGCCUCUGGGUGCCCAGUGCUAGUCUAAGAGCUUUACACGCAGUCUGACCUCCUGACCAUUCAGCAAGGGUUCACUCGGCAUCGGAAGACCUAAGUUCAAGACCGGCAUUGCCAGUCUCCUGGUGAGCAGAGUGACUUGGGCAAGUGGCUUCACUCUCUGAAAGCUGGAUGUGAUACCAGCUGCCCUGCGUGUGGCAGCGUGUUGAAACCCAUACCACAUCCAUGCCCACACUCCAGUGUUCCUGAGGGAGCACCCUCCCCCUGCCAGCCCUCUUCUCCUCGGUCAAUGACUUCUCCUGAAGAGCCUGUAUCACCUCUGCAUCCAGCCCCAACCUUGAACCAGCUCCCUGAGGCCCACCAAGGGCAUCAGCAGAGAAGAUACUUAUGAGAUUCUAAUUUAAAGGACAAAAAUGUCUACAUGAAUCCUGUGAUAAGGAACUCAUCCCUGCGGAGCCUUGGUGGUGCAGAUGUCAGAGGGUGGGCUGCUCACUGCAAGGUCAGCAGCUGGAAACCACCACCCCUCAGCAAGAGAAAAGAGGGGCUCCUCUGAAACCGACCCACCGGGGUGGUUCUACCCCGUCCUGUCGGGUCGCCGUGAGUCAGCAUCAACUCCCAUGGCAGUGAGCGUGUGUGUUUGUUUUCCCCAUAUUUACCAGGAGCCUGGUGGCGUUAUGGGGUAUGUGUUGGGCUGCUACCUGCACGGCCAGCUGUCAUCCUACAGGAGCACGAGGAGGCUGCUGCCCCCAGAGCACCUCACAGCCUCAGAAACACCAUGUAACUCCGAAGCACUACCGUGAGUCGGAGUCCACCCUCUGGCAGAGGUUUGGCUUGGGUUUGGGCUCCUAUGUUUAUAGAGAUGAUGGCAUGAUUGUGUUUGGUGCAAGUUUGAAUUGUAGAAACAUGAAAUACAUAAUCCAAAAACUUGUUUUUUCAUUAAAUUUCAUUAAAUGAGACCACCAACAAA